AUGAUCCUUUACCCCAGCUGGCCCACCUCUCUCUCUGGUAACACUCUCUGCCCCUUGACCUUAUGAUUCCUGAGACACACUGCUGCAGUUGCUGCCCGGCUUUUCUGGAUGCCAAGAAAGUGCUCAGGCCUUUGCUUGCUUUUCUGGAUUUCUCAAGCCAGAUUCAGACCCAAUGCCACAGACUGUCUAAUCCAAGAAACACAUUAUGUUUUCCCCCAGGCUUUAGACAAAACAUGAACAGAAUUCUCUUCCUGCUGUAUUUCAGUCAAGCGAACAACUUCGUCUCCUGCGUGAACCAAGUAAAUUUGCUGGAUGCCAUCCAUGAUGCUCUUCUCCCCUUUAUCCUUCAUCAUAUAUGGUAUCUACCUGAUGGAUGUUGGGUCCUUACAGCAGGGAGAAGAUGCACUCAUCUUUGUAUUUCUAGCACCUAUCACAGGACUGGAAAAGCUGGCCAUCAGAUAAAUGUAAGUGAAGGUGGUGCAAAAGGACUUUAUAGAUGCUGAAGGCAUGUCAUUGCUGACCAGGAUGUUUUCUACAGUAAUUCCAAGCUAGAAUGGGGCUGCCUUUUUUAAGAGAUCUCAGGAAUUAUCCUGGGAAAUUUUAGACAAGGCAAAUGAAGUGGAGUGAAACUUAAAAUGUACAAAUAGUCAUUUUUCCAUAAAUGGUCUCUGUGUGUAUAAAAGACAAUAUCUUAUAUGUUAUGCUACCAAUGCAUAUUGCAAUAAUACAGGUGACCUUUUAAGAAUACAUUACGUGGUUACUUGUUAAGUAUCUAUUGUCUUUAGAGGUACGUCCGGGAAUUUUAAAAGGUGCACUUCUAAAAAAAUAAAUUUAAUUGAUGUAGCA
rnacentral:lncRNA from 1 species